AAAGACCCAGAGGCGAAGGCGCCUUCCUGGACGAGUAUUGACGCUGAGGCGCGAAUUGGGAGCGUGGGUAGCAAACAGGAUUAGAUACCCUGGUAGUCCACGCCGUAAACGAUGUGCACUAGAUAUUGGAGGUUUGACCCCUUCAGUGUCGUAGCUAACGCAUUAAGUGCACCGCCUGGGGAGUACGGUCGCAAGACUAAAACUCAAAGGAAUUGACGGGGGCCCGCACAAGCGGUGGAUUAUGUGGUUUAAUUCGAAGCAACGCGCAGAACCUUACCUAGGCUUGAAAUCCUGAGAAUCUGAUGGAAACAUCGGAGUGCUCUGCUUAGAAUUCAGUGACAGGCGCUGCAUGGCAGUCGUAAGCUCGCGUCGUGAGAUGUUGGGUUAAGUCUCGCAACGAGCGCAACCCCUAUCCUUAGUUGCCAGCAUUAAGUUGGGCACUCUAGGGAGACCGCCCGGGCUAACCGGGAGGAAGGUGGGGAUGACGUCAAGUGGUCAUGGCCCCUAUGUCUAGGGCUACACACGUAAUACAAUGGUGCAUACAAAGGGAAGCGACCUGGCAACAGUGAGCAAAUCUCAAAAAGUGCAUCUCAGUCCGGCUUGGAGUCUGCAACUCGACUCCAUGAAGUUGGAAUCGCUAGUAAUCGGAGAUCAGCACGCUCCGGUGAAUACGUUCCCGGGCCUUGUACACACCGCCCGUCACACCACGGGAGUUGGUCUUACCCAGCU
rnacentral:rRNA from 1 species